GCAGAGGGGAGGUGACAGGGACUGCAGUCCUCAUAGUUGCCUGAGUCCCCAGCCAGCUGCCCACCGCCCUGCUGCCCAGGGUCCCAGGGAUGUGUGUGCAAGGACACGUGUGGCAGGGACAGUGAUUGGCCAUUGGAGCUUUGGCCCUUGUCUUCUCUGGCUUCUGUCUGACCGGCCAGCUGGGAGGAGGGUGGGGCGGCUCUUCACCUGCCUGUAGCCAACGAGGUGUGAACGCUGGGGUGAGAGGAAUAAAGCUGUGUGGUGCGCUUCAAGGCCAAAAGCUGUACCUGAGUCACCUGCUGGACCAGAGCUUCAAGGGACCUACCUGAAUGUGGCAUCUCCACUCAUUUGCUCUGCUGACAAUGGGCGGGGUUGGCGAUCUCGCAGAGUCGGGGCUGUGUGCCUCCACUUGGCUGUGGACCACUGGGGCGCAUGCGUGGCUGACCCACCUGAGCAGACGCUGCACAGGGCGGUGCCUUCUCCCUGUACCUGCUACCAGUCUGGAGACU